rnacentral:rRNA from 1 species
UACGUAGGGGGCAAGCGUUGUCCGGAUUUAUUGGGCGUAAAGAGCUCGUAGGCGGUCUGUCGCGUCCGUUGUGAAAACUCGAGGCUCAACCUCGGGCUUGCAGUGGAUACGGGCAGACUAGAGUGCGGUAGGGGAGAACUGGAAUUCCUGGUGUAGCGGUGGAAUGCGCAGAUAUCAGGAGGAACACCGAUGGCGAAGGCAGGUCUCUGGGCCGCAACUGACGCCUGGAGGAGCGAAAGCAUGGGGAGCGAACAGG